AGAGUUUGAUCCUGGCUCAGGACGAACGCUGGCGGCGUGCUUAACACAUGCAAGUCACGGGGGCGGGGCUUCGGCCUCGCAACCGGCGAACGGGUGCGUAACACGUGAGCGACCUGCCUCCCCGCGGGGGAUAGCCGGCCCAACGGCCGGGUAAUACCGCAUACGCUCUCUCGGGCUCAUGCCUGGGAUGAGGAAACCUCCGGGGCGGGGAGAGGGGCUCGCGGCCUAUCAGCUCGUUGGCGGGGUAACGGCCCACCAAGGCGACGACGGGUAGCUGGUCUGAGAGGAUGGCCAGCCACAUUGGGACUGAGAGACGGCCCAGACUCCUACGGGAGGCAGCAGUGGGGAAUCUUGCGCAAUGGCCGAAAGGCUGACGCAGCGACGCCGCGUGGAGGAUGACGCCCCUCGGGGUGUAAACUCCUGUUGCCCGGGACGAACAUCCCCUUUCCGGGGGACUGACGGUACCGGGUGAGGAAGCACCGGCUAACUCCGUGCCAGCAGCCGCGGUAAUACGGAGGGUGCGAGCGUUGUCCGGAAUCACUGGGCGUAAAGGGCGCGUAGGCGGCGGCGCAAGCGUGGGGUGAAAGUCCGGGGCUCAACCCCGGAUCGGCCUCGCGGACUGCGUCGCUCGACACUGUAAGGCGGGUGGAAUUCCGGGGUGUACGGUGGAAUGCGUAAGAUCCGGAAAACACCGGUUGGCAAGCGGCCCGCUGGGCAGUGGGCUUGACGCUGAGCGCACAAGCGUGGGGAGCAAACAAGGAAUAGNUACCGUGGUUAAGUCAACCCGUAAACGAAUGGGCAAAUAAGAUGCCGUGGGGGGAGAGACCCCCCCGGGGGUGCCGGGCGAUAACGCAAUUAAGUUCCCCCACAUGGGGAGUACGGCCCGCAAGGUUGAAAAUUCAAAGGAAUUGAACGGGGGGCCCGCACAAAACGGUGGAGCAUGUGGUUUAAUUGAACGCAACGCGGAAGAACCUUACCUGGGCUUGACAUGCGCGGGAAACCCCGGUGAAAGCCGGGGCCCUCUUCGGAGCCCGCGCACAGGUGCUGCAUGGCUGUUGUCAGCUCGUGUCGUGAGAUGUUUGGGUUAAGUCCCGCAACGAGCGCAACCCCCCGUUCCUAGUUGCCAGCGGGUAAAGCCGGGGACUUAGGAAGACUCCGGUGCCAAACCGGAGGAAGUUGGGGGAGACGUCAAGUCAUCAUGGUCACUUACGUCAAGGGCUACACACGUGCUACAAUGGCGCAUACAGAGGGUCGCAAGGCCGCAAGGCNGNNCCAAUCCCCAAAGUGCGCCUCAGUUCGGAUUGUCGUCUGCAACCCGACGGCAUGAAGCUGGAAUCGCUAGUAAUCGUGGAUUAGUCUACAGCCACGGUGAAUACGUUCCCGGGCCUUGUACACACCGCCCGUCACGCCAUGGAAGCUCGGAGCGCCCGAAGUCGGUGCCGGAACCCGGUGGGGAAGCCCUGGGGCCANCCCCGCCGAAGGUGAGACGAGUGACUGGGGCGAAGUCAGUUACAAGGUAACCGUAUGGGGAACCUGCGGC
rnacentral:rRNA from 1 species